CCCUUAGAUGUCCUGGGCCGCACGCGCGUUACACUGAUGCAUUCAACGAGCUUAUAACCUUGGCCGAGAGGCCUGGGCAAUCUUGUUAACGUGCAUCGUGAUAGGGAUAGAUUAUUGAAAUUAUUAAUCUUGAACGAGGAAUUCCUAGUAAACGCAGAUCAUCAAUCUGCAUUGAUUACGUCCCUGACCUUUGUACACACCGCCCGUCGCACCUACCGAUUGGAUGGUCCGGUGAAGCCUCGGGAUUGUGGUUCUUGCCGCUUUAUUGUGGCGUGACCGCGAGAACUUGUCUAAACCUUAUCAUCUAGAGGAAGGUGAAGUCGUAACA
rnacentral:rRNA from 1 species